rnacentral:rRNA from 1 species
AUGUUGCCCAUCAUUGUGAAGAUGUUACGGGUGGUUUCCUUGCAAGCGAGAUACAUCUGUGGUGUGAGUAUUAUUUUGAGGACCAUGGUUCACAACAGUGCAAAAUUAGCCCGCCAAUUUGCUGAGGAAAAAAGACCGUGCUUGCUGCUGUUUAUUGUUAUUCACAGCAGCAUCUUGUCGGCCGUCGCCUGUGAAGUGCCAUCAGCUGUCCAGUCCAAGCCGAAUCAUCUUUCGUCGCCCGCGUUCCGGUGCUCCGACGAGCCGUCGCUCUUCUCAGGCCAGGCGCCGAAGCUCAGCUGGCGCAGCAGCGCCCCGACCGCCUUGGCCCAUCGCUGGAUUUCGCCCUUGAGCUUGUCAGGUUCUAUGUCUGCGAACGCACCGGCGGCAAGGCCAGACAAGAGGCGGUCAUACCGCGCACCGCUGGACGACGAUUUCGGCAAGCCGGCGCUCGCGUCCUCGGCGUACUUCUGGCCGACUGACAUGCCCUCGGGGUCUUGGGUUCUUCGGUGA